UACGUAGGGUGCGAGCGUUAAUCGGAAUUACUGGGCGUAAAGCGUGCGCAGGCGGUUUUGUAAGUCAGAUGUGAAAUCCCCGGGCUUAACCUGGGAAUGGCAUUUGGGACUGCAAGGCUGGAGUGCGGCAGAGGAGACUGGAAUUCCUGGUGUAGCAGUGAAAUGCGUAGAUAUCAUGAGGAACACCAGAGGCGAAGGCGGCUACCUGGACAGUUACUGACGCUCAGGCACGAAAGCGUGGGGAGCAAAAGGG
rnacentral:rRNA from 1 species